GCCCUCUCAUGACCGCACCUGGAGAAUUUCCAGUAUUCUACCAGUCUCGGCUUCGGGAGGGAGAGUCAAGCAGGGGCCUACCCAUUCCAUUCCUAGCUUGGUCAGUGGCUAGCAAGUGGAAAGCUAUCUGCUUCAAGU